rnacentral:rRNA from 1 species
CCCAGGAGCCACAAGUGGCAACCACCUUUAUUUGGCCUAAAGCGUCCGUAGCCGGUUUUGUAAAUUUUCUGUGAAAUAGUUGCGCUUAACGUAACUGCGUGCAGAAAACACUGCAAGACUUGGAACCGGGAGGAGUCAGAGGUAUUUUGGGGGGAGCGGUAAAAUGCUAUAAUCCCCGAAGGACCACCUGUGGCGAAAGCGUCUGACUAGAACGGAUUCGACGGUGAGGGACGAAAGCUAGGGGAGCAAUCCG